AAUGGUUGUAUCUGAUUGGACAAGAAGAUUCAUAUUUGGGAGGGAUUCAAGUGGUGUUUAAUUUGAUUAACAAGCAAUGUCUUCAUUAUUUUGUGACACUUUUUCUGUGUUAAUUCUUCUAAAGUUGUACUUAUUGAAGGUACUUAUUCAAGUUGGAGUUUGGUCCAUCCACGGUUGUAAUUAGAAAACACUCUGAGAGUUGUCAUUGUAUUUUUGGACGGGAAUGCUACUCUUUGCAGCUUCCAUCUUGCACUAAUAUACUUUAGUGGAGUUGUGUCAUUCUUUAUUGGAUAGUGUCAUAAAUUUCAUUUUCUGAAAACUACACUUGAUGGUAUGGGAUAUUAUGCAUACUUCGUUACUUAAAUUAAAUUCAACCUGUAGAAAUAAAAUCAAAUCACUUCGUUCAAUAUAAACUUGAUAGCU